rnacentral:rRNA from 1 species
CAGUCGCCGCGGUAAUACGGAGGGUGCAAGCGUUAAUCGGAAUUACUGGGCGUAAAGCGUGCGUAGGCGGUUCGUUAAGUCUGUUGUGAAAGCCCCGGGCUCAACCUGGGAAUGGCAAUGGAUACUGGCGAGCUAGAGUGUGUCAGAGGAUGGUGGAAUUCCCGGUGUAGCGGUGAAAUGCGUAGAGAUCGGGAGGAACAUCAGUGGCGAAGGCGGCCAUCUGGGACAACACUGAUGCUGAGGCACGGAAGCGUGGGGAGCAAACAGGAUUAGAUACCCCUGUAGUCCCUGUCUCUUAUAC